rnacentral:rRNA from 1 species
UACGUAGGUGGCAAGCGUUGUCCGGAUUUAUUGGGUUUAAAGGGUGCGUAGGCGGGUUAUUAAGUCAGUGGUGAAAGCCUUCAGCUUAACUGAAGAAUUGCCAUUGAUACUGAUGAUCUUGAGUAUGAUUGAGGUUGGCGGAAUGUGUCAUGUAGCGGUGAAAUGCUUGGAUAUGACACAGAACAACGAUUGCGAAGGCAGCUAACUAAGCCAUAACUGACGCUGAUGCACGAAAGCGUGGGGAGCAAGCAGG